rnacentral:lncRNA from 1 species
UCCAGAGGUAGCCUAAUGGGGCCCUGCUGCUUGAGUUCUAAUCCCAGCCCCACCAGUUGUUGGCUAUUUGGCCCUGGGCAGGCUUCUGCCAUCACUCUGUGUGACUUCAACAUUCUACCUGCAUGACCUAUGCAGCACCUGGCCGCUGUUACCUUGCCACCCUCACUGACAUCUUCUCUGCAUAGGCCUUCCACCAUGCCCUGUACUUUCUCCCCACUAGAAAUAGCCCUGGCUCUGAAAUGUGUUUUAAUCAUCCCACUUUGGGUCCACCAGUUCCUAGCCUUUGAGCUUAGGCCUCUCCUCCAGGACCCUCCCUGGCUACGAUUUCCCAACCCCUCUCGACCUUCCAUUCACUGACCUUGCCACUUUCUUGCCUCUUGUCUGCACCUCUCCCCAUCCCUAGUGUGGAUUCCAUCCCCUUGUGAACGCUGCCACCCGUCCUGGCAGAGACUCAGUACUUCCACUCUCUGAAUGCAUUUCUUCUUCCUAGGCACACCAGAAGACUACAUUUCCUAGCCCCCCACCCCCUUGCAGUGUCUGGGACCAUGUGACUCCUUAAUUAGGUCACUUCUCUCUCCUGGGAGGCCCUCUCUGCCCUCUCUAAGUCUAACUAGUGGCAAAGGAUCUAAGGGAAGAAACCUGGCAGAGUUACUAGUCCCAAGAAGCCUGGGUCCCUGAAUCACCACAUGGAAGUCUACGCGCCCACCACCUGAAUGGACUAAGGAAGCUGCAGGAUGAAGACAACAGCAUCACAAGGAGGAAGCCAGGAUCCCUGUGUUACCACAAGGAGGAGAGAUGCCUAACCAAGACCGUCUGCAAGGAUUUUGUGUGAGCCAGAAGCAGAGCUGUAUGGUGUUCAGCCACUGAGAUUUGAGGGCUGUUUGUUACAGCAGUUGACCUAUCCUGACUGACACAUCACAUCAUUCCUUUCCCCACCAUGUGUCUAACAUGCUACCAAAUUGAAUUUUAAGUAAAUUAGUACUUAUAAAUUAAGUACAAAUGCUUUUCAAAUUCACAUGAAUCUUUGGUAAAUAAAACUGGUUGUAAAAUUA